CAUUAGAAUAGGAAUGUUUGUGAAGGCUACGUGUGUACUUGUGCAUUCACCUUGCUUAGGUUGGCACAAUUUGCAUGCAGCGCCUUAGCACACAGCUCAAUUAGCCGAGGAGCCCUUUAAGAGCUGUAUUUCGGCACGAGGUGUGCACUUGUGUGAGUGCCCCUGCACAUGCUGGUGUGCACACGCGCCAAGUUUUUUUUGUCUCGCACCAUGCAGGUGGAGUGGGGGGGUGUAGGACUCUGUGUGUGCGUGCACGCAGCACUUUUGCAGUUUGCAAGGCGUGUGACAUCCGUGCAAGGAGCUCCUGCUUGCAAGCAAAGGGAGCAAUCCGCUCUGCGUGGAACAGGAGCGUGCACCGGAGAGCGAGGGGCAGAUCUGUAAGCCAGAAAGGAGCCGGGUGGCAGCGUCUUAAGGAGAGAUCAGUGCUCUGAUGGAACAGCGCUGGAGAAAUCCUUCCUCUGGUUGGGAAGUUGCAGUUCCAGCACGGCGCUGGCAUUCGGCAGAGCAGGAGCGAGCGCGCUGGGUUUGCUGCGAUGAGGUCAUCCCGAGCAAAGAUAAGGGAAGCGGUGCAUGUAUUAACCUGAAGGGAGCGGUGAUGUCAGCAAGGGGGAAGGAAAUCAAUGACUGCCAGGUCCCCUCGGGUGCUCCAGGUGAUGCCCCAGUUCACCUUCGCUUGCUUCUGCGGGCUGCAUGGCUUCUGCAAGAUGAAGAGGAAGAAGGAGGAACCCAGCGGGGAGCAGGAGACGGCGGUGUGAGCAGCAGGGACAGGAGUGGGACACCGGAGCUGCUGGGGGGCAUUGGCUGUCCCCUCUCCUGUCACCUCUGCAGGGAUCCCUGUGCUGCGGAGACAUCUGCCUGGCCAGGAGGGAGCUGAAACAUGGGAGUGCCCACACCAGGAGGAACCAGCCGGCGUUGCAGACAGUACUGGGGGGCUGCAGCCAUCCUGCCACAUGUGCUGAGCCCUCUGCACCCCAACAGCCGCUGUCAGAGAAGGAUUCGCCCCGAGCCCACUGCCCUGCCCUCACCCCAGCACUGCUCUGCGGACAGACCCUAAAGGGGUUUCCAAAAUCUAGGGCCAGACCUUGUCCUGCAUGGAGUAAUAGUGCUGGGGGGGCUGCCCCAGGGUGGUAAGUGCUCUCACCACUGCGGAAUUGGCUGAACAUACAAGCAAGCUGUGCUUUUAAUUUUUUUUUUUUUUAUUAUUAUUAUUUAUUCAGUUUUUCUCAAGCAAAUGCCUGGGACUGCAAGAAGCCAUUCUCCACAUCUCAGCCAUGCCUGGCCCCAUGGCUGCAGCACAGUGGAUCGUGUUGGGGACACCGAGUGCACCACCCAGCUCAUGCUGGGGACACGGCGGUGCUGGCACUCGUUCCCAUGCCACUGAGAGAUGCAGCUCAGCAGGAGCUGGUUCAUGGUUGGCACAAAGGCCAGCAGCCCCCAGCUCAGGCCACUGGGCGUUCUCCGCAGGGACAUUUCUGGCACAACCGUGUCCUCCAGAGCAGAAAUCCUUAAACUCUUCCACCUGCUGUUUCCCUUCUCUACAUGGAGAACCCAAUCACAGGGGGCUGAAAGCGAUGCCCACGGGUGCCAGGCAGGAGAUGCUCACUCCGAGGGCUGCUCCUGCUCCCACCGCCUUCACCUGGCACUGUGUGGCUGAGGUCCCAUGGGUCCCCGUUUCCCCUUCACCCUCUCUGUGCAUCCUUCCUACCUAUGGUUAAAGCCAUACAGGAGCUCCCCACAUUCUGUGCCUUUUGGGGGGCGUCCCGCAGAUGUCCCCCCCCCAGCCAGCCCCUGGUGAGGGUCCCCCAUGGAUCUGGGGACAUUGCUGGGGUCUCGGUGUCACGAUGCUGGGGCGGGCUGCAGCCUGCUUCCCUGGCCCCAAGUGCACCCAAAAGUCGAGAUCUCAUUUCAGGCACUGGAACUCUGGUGCUCCCAUGGCCAAGAAACCAGAAAAGCAGCAAGGACAGCCCACAGGGAAGGGUAAAUACUUGGGGGGCAAGUCCUCGGAGCAGGGGGCAUGGACUCGAGCACCCUGACACCCCCUGGGAGCUCCCAAGGGGGGGGCUGAGCACACUUGGAGAACGGUUCCCCCCCCAUUGUUAACCACCUCGACCUUCCCAGUGCUCUCAGAGCGCAUUUGCACGUGACAAACAGAGCUGUAGCCACCAGUGACAGCUCCCCUUUGGAGAUCUGUUGGCUCAGCCAACACUCAGAACCAACACGGCCAGUGUUUUAUUUUCUCAUCUGAAGGAUUUAGCACAAAAAGCGUCCAGAAGCACCAAGAACACAAGGUGCAGCUGAGGAGCUCUAAAUCCUCUCUGCUGCAUGCCCAUGGCCUGGGCUGCGGUGGGAAGCAGCAGAUGGGUGUGGGCUAUGGGAUGGCAGCAAUCCCCGGUCCCCAUGCACCUACCCCAAGGUUGGGGGCACCCUGGGGGCACUUUGCUUCUUCCCUCUCUGAGCUCAGGUGAUGUGAGCUGGGUGAUGCCCUGCUGGGGGUUUCCCUGCUGGGCUCUGGGUUUGGGCAGCGUGAUGGCCAGGUGUCCCUGUCCUUUGUCACCAUGGAGCUCAGCAGAUUUCAGCCUGGCAUGCACGGAUCGGUGGGAAACGCUGUGGUGAGUGCAGGCUGUAAUGUGUCCUCCGGGAGCUCUGAGGCUGCAGAAGCCUUUUACUUUGCAGUGCACACAGAGGCUCCAAGGGAAGCCGAAGCCACCGAGGUUGAUGCUGAUGCAGCCACGUUUGGGCUCAGCUGACGGUGCCCCGCUCCUGGGGGGACACAGUUGGUUCCCCCUAGUGAUGAUGUGGGAUGAUGACCCCUUUCAGGGCUGUUUUGGCAGCAGGGUGAGAUUUGGGGAGAUGAUGGGCAGCUUUGCUCAGUCAGGCUUUACAGAGGCUAAAAUAUUGCUGUGGGUUGCGGGGGGGGGGGGGUGGCCCAGUUCAUUACCACGUAACCCUCACUGCUAAACCUCUUUGACUGCAGAUCCAUCACAGUUUGGCAGCCACGGAUGUGCAAGCUAACAGCUGCUCCGAGACUCUUUGUCACUCUGGAUGCACAGAGAGCGUCCCUGCAAAGGAGCUUGUGUAUGGAGGGGGUGCUAAGGGACGAGCUGGGAGCUCUGCUGGAAGCACUGCACUCAUGCCGUGCACCCACUGUACACAGUGCAUGCACACUGCACACACUGCACAUGCCAUCUAUGGCACGUGCACGCUGCACACACUGCAUGCGGUGCACACCCAGCACACGGUGCACGCACGCUGCACGCUCUGUGCACGCACUAUUCACACACUGCUCAUGCCGUGCACACCCGCAUGGUGCACACCACGGUUGCAUGCUGGCUGCGUGCAGCAGCCCUGUGCUUGCUCAGGAGCACGCCCCAGUUGCACACUGGCAGCUCUGUGCCUGCUCGGGCUGUCCCUGGAUCUGCAGUACUCCCAUCUCCAGUGAAUGAACGUAGGACGUAGCAGCAAGACAGGCAGACGCUCACCCACACCCACUACAUAUGCAUGUGAAAACACAAUAAAUUAACCAGGUGCAGUCUGAA